rnacentral:lncRNA from 12 species
GGCAAUGGCCGGCAAGGCUAUCACAGGCACAGGGUAGACACCCAGGAGAGCCCUUCUUUGGGAAAGUCGUGGCUAGGGGUGGGUCGGACAGAGCCCUCGGCACCAUCGGCAGGCGGCCCCGUAAGGCUGUAAAUCGCAGCCCAUGGGGGAAGGUGGUGGGGCCGCAAACAGCCCACGAAGCUCUGACCCGUUGGUUUUCGUAACACCAUCCAGGGGUAGGGAGGCCGUCAGCUGCCCUGCCCGCACGCACGUUUCCUCCGGACGCCCUUGGCCCUGCCAUUCCCAUUCUUCCCAGUGGCCAGCAAAGCUUCUACACUCCUGCCCUGAACGUACACCAUGAGCUCUCCUGGACUUCCUGGUGUGUUUGUUGUGUGUGUGUGUGUGUGUGUGUGUUUGUGUUUGCAUGCCUGUGCAUGCGACUAUGAGUGUGUGAGCGUGUGUGUGACAGUGUGUGUCCUUCUGUAUGUUUGUAUGUGUAUUCGUGUGCGCGUGCGAGUUGUGUGUCUCUGUCCUUGUCUGGCCUCAGAUGAAUUACGGCUCUAUCAAAUGCACCGAACCCAUCUGGUGUCUUUCCUGUCCUCCCGCAACCCUGUUCAGCGCUCAGCUGAGAACGUGGGACAGAGGCCUGGGACAGAGAUUGCUCCUUGCCCGGUCGGGAGUCCACCUGUACACCGGCGGCACCUGGCCCUGAAAGGGGGGCACCACACACCAGCAGGAGAACUGGCUCAAUCUUUGGCCUGGCCGAUGUACUCUGACAUAGAUGCUCUCAAGACCCUGCCAAAGCCGCCUAACGCAACUCCUAUCACUUGGCUGCUGGCUGUCUGAGACGCCACCAAAGCCCAGACAUGUCAUGGAGGACCACCAAGUCGAGGACUCCCACCCAAGGAGAGCACACGGUUUCUAGGCCCUCAGCCCUCCGCCAGGCACUCUGAUCCCAGGGCCCUUGGGUGGAGAUGGUGGUGGUGGUGUUGCUGGUGGUGGUGGUGGUGGUGGUGGUGGUGGUG